rnacentral:rRNA from 1 species
UACGGAGGACUCGAGCGUUAUCCGGAUUUAUUGGGUUUAAAGGGUGCGUAGGCGGUCGGAUAAGUUAGAGGUGAAAUCCCGGGGCUCAACUUCGGAAUUGCCUCUGAUACUGUUCGGCUAGAGAGUAGUUGCGGUAGGCGGAAUGUAUGGUGUAGCGGUGAAAUGCUUAGAGAUCAUACAGAACACCGAUUGCGAAGGCAGCUUACCAAGCUACUUCUGACGUUGAGGCACGAAAGCGUGGGGAGCAAACAGG